AGUGAACGCUGGCGGUAGGCCUAACACAUGCAAGUCGAACGGCAGCACAGUAAGAGCUUGCUCUUAUGGGUGGCGAGUGGCGGACGGGUGAGGAAUACAUCGGAAUCUACUUUUUCGUGGGGGAUAACGUAGGGAAACUUACGCUAAUACCGCAUACGACCUACGGGUGAAAGCAGGGGAUCUUCGGACCUUGCGCGAUUGAAUGAGCCGAUGUCGGAUUAGCUAGUUGGCGGGGUAAAGGCCCACCAAGGCGACGAUCCGUAGCUGAUCUGAGAGGAUGAUCCGCCACACUGGAACUGAGACACGGUCCAGACUCCUACGGGAGGCAGCAGUGGGGAAUAUUGGACAAAGGGCGCAAGCCUGAUCCAGCCAUACCGCGUGGGUGAAGAAGGCCUUAGGGUUGUAAAGCCAUUUUGUUGGGAAAGAAAAGCAGCAGGUUAAUACCCCGCUGUUCUGACGGUACCCAAAGAAUAAGCACCGGCUAACUUCGUG
rnacentral:rRNA from 1 species